rnacentral:rRNA from 1 species
AUACACUUCAUCGGAGAUGGAUACUUAGAAGGAAGUAGAGCAGAAAAGGCUAGAGAAUAUGCACAGGCUCUCUUCAGCUUUGAACUUAGAAGUAUUUGCGCAGUAGAUGAAUACAUCUAUUGGUUUCGUAAGUAUUUCUUCCAGAGAGGAGUAGCAACGGAAGUAGCAGCUCCAAUGUUCUUCGCAAAGAUAUGCAUUCCAUGGAGGAAAAUGUUGAUCCAGUCAUACAAAGUACCUGAAGGACAGCUAGAUUCAGUGGCGUAAAGAAUGUCUUUCCUUAAAGACAAACUGAAGGAUUGGUGUUAUAAAACAUCCAUCCAGAACAAUAUAAAAAGACUGAGAGGUAAAAUCAAGCGAACCCCUCUUUGUUGUGAUAACAAUGAUUUUUCAACUAUUAUAGGAGAAUCAAGUGAGCCAAGGAAAAGGAGGAAACAUAAUAGUGACUCCUACUCUAGGAGUUCCAGAAGAACCUUUUCCCAGCAGAGAUCAUGGUGGUCUAAGUCCAAAGCCAGAACAUACAAAUCUGGACAGAAAAUAGGACCAACAAGGGUUUCAUCCCAAGGAUCUAGACAAACCGAUGCAAGAUCCACUGAAAGUUUCAGACAGGCCCAUAGCUGAGCCAAUGAAAGUUUCAAAAAUUGCAAUUGCUGGACUUGUGGAGCAAAAGGACAUAUAUCUCCCGAUUGCCCGCAGAAAUGUGGUGAAUCGAGAAAAUCUGAAGCCACAGAUGAUAUCUUAGAUGCAAUAUACUAUGGCGAUUUGGUACCUAUCUAUCAAUUCGAAGAUCUUCCUUCAGACGAAAGCGUUUAUGAAGAAGAAAUAGAGACUGAUUCUGAUAGAUCUUCAACCGAGUUAGAAUAAUUACAACGAAGGAGAUAGGCUUUAAACUUCUAAAAGCCUAUCAGGAUUCUUUUCCAAAAUGAUGAUGUCAAACAAAAUCAUGGAAAGAAUCAUGCGGCAGGAUUCCAACCUCAGCCCAUACGAUGUAUUUAGGAUUGGAGGAAUUAGGAAAGUCCUGAACCAGAUAGGACUGGCCAAAGGAAGCAUCACACAAUCUACAAAGUAAGUUCAGGUGAGUUUGCUAUACCUAUGAAACUUACUGGUAAUGUGAUGGAGAUGCAAUUAAUUCCUAAAGAAGAAAUUCUUGAAGAAUUGAGUAAGCUUAGAGAAGAAGUAACUAUUACUAUGAAAUGGAUCCACAUAGGGACUAUCCACAUGGAUCCACAUUGGGAACGGCUCCCUCGGACGCCUUCCCCGGGCGUCGAACAACCGACUCAAAACUGGUAUGGACAAGGGGAAUCCGACUGUAUGGUCCCUACGGAUUCUCAUGCAAUGUGAUAACUACCCGGUGGUCUGAAUGUCAAAGUGAAGAAAUUCAACCAAGCGCGGGUAAACGGUGGGAGUAACUAUGACUCUCUUAAGGUAGCCAAAUACCUCAUCAUCUAAUUAGUGACGCGCAUGAAUGGAUUAACGAGAUUCCCACUGUCUCUGUCUACUAUCCAGCGAAACCACAGCCAAGGGGACGGGCUUGGCGGAAUCAACGGGGAAAGAAGACCCUGUUAAGCUUGACUCUAGUCCGACUUUGUGAAAUUACUUGUGAGAUGUAGGAUAAGUGGGAGCCGAAAGGCGAAAGUAAAAUACCACUACUUUUAACGUUAUUUUACUUAUUCCGUGAAUUGGAGGUGGGGCACGCCCCUCUUUUUGGACACAAAGCGCGCUCCGGCGGGCCGAUCAUUGUCAGGUGGGGAGUUUGGCUGGGGCGGCACAUAUGUUAAAAGAUAACGCAGGUGUCCUAAGAUGAGAUCAACGAGAACAGAAAUCUCGUAUGGAACAAAAGGGUAAAAGCUCAUUUGAUUAUGAUUUCUGGUACGAAUAUGAACCGUGAAAGCGUGGCCUAACGAUCCUUUAGACCUUCAGAAUUUGAAGCUAGAGGUGUCAGAAAAGUUACCAUAGGGAUAACUGGCUUGUGGCAGCCAAGCGUUCACAGCGACGUUGCUUUUUUAUCCUUCGAUGUCGGCUCUUCCUAUCAUUGUGAAGCAGAAUUCACCAAGUGUUGGAUUGUUCACCCACCAAUAGGGGACGUGAGCUGGGUUUAGACCGUCGUGAGACAGGUUAGUUUUACCCUACUUAUGACAGUAUCGCAAUAGUAAUUCAACCUAGUACGAGAGGAACCGUUGAUUCGCACAAUUGGUCAUCGUGCUUGGUUGAAAAGCCAGUGGCGCGAAGCUACCGUGCACUGGAUUAUGACUGAACGCCUCUAAGUCAGAAUCCGGGCUAGAAGCGAUGCGUACGCCCGCCAUUCGCUUGCCGACCCGCAGUAGGGGCCCCCGGGCCCCCAAGGGUACGUGUCGUUGGCCAAGCCAUCGCGGCGGACGAGCCGCGCUGGCCGCCUUGAAGUACAAUUCCCAUCGAGCGGCGGGUAGAAUCCUUUGCAGAUGACUUAAAUACGCGACGGGGUAUUGUAAGCGGCAGAGUGCCCUUGCUGCCACGAUCUGCUGAGAUUC